rnacentral:lncRNA from 1 species
AAUUGCAGAAUUUUAGAUUUAUAACAUAAAAAGAAAGGCGUUGACUUAUGAAAAUGCAAGUUUGACUUGAAAGGGCAUUUUGCAAAUUAAGAAUUAAGAAAAUUCUCCCUGUUAAGUAAAUAAGAGACGGCAUUCUUGUACAUAUGUGAUAAUAUAAAAAUAAUGCAACUAUAUUAUUAAAUUCAUAUGUAAUAUCAUUAGACAAACCACUACUAGAUACUAAUAAAACAAGCUCUUCUCAUCAAUGUAUGUAUGUCAUAAUACGAGGAGGAAUUUUGCCCUUACUGUUUUGAAAGCUCCAUAUGACUUAGACAUUCAGUGUCAGAACAAUACAGGAUUUUCCCACAGGCUUUACACAAUGGCCUAGCUAGGAAAACUUUUAUUUAUAUUUUAAAGGUAUAUAGAAAGUUCUUGGGCUAUUUUGAAUACAGCACUUAGAUAACACUAGAAAACAUCAUCGAAAGAAAAUAAAUUAAAAUUGUACUAUGUGGUGUUAUGAGUUGGUCGAAUUGCAGCCUCCAAAA